GCAACCAUGAGCUUCAUCACCAUCUUCAUCUGGAUCUUCACUAGCUGCUGUUUCACAGAAUCAGCAGCUGGAGCGACGGUCACUCAGACGCCUGCAGUGAAACCUGUUCAACCAGGAGACACAGUUACUAUCUCCUGUAAAACCAGUCCUGAAGUUUACCAGGGUUGGAGUGUUCAGCCUCUACACUGGUACUUACAGAAACCUGGAGAAGCUCCUAAACUCCUGAUUUAUAAUGCAAACCGUGUCCAGUUAGCAUAUAGAUUCAGUGGCAGUGGAUCUAACAGUGAUUUUACUCUGACCAUCACUGGAGUCCAGACUGAAGAUGCUGGACAUUAUUACUGUCUGAGAAGAGUGAUGAUGGAACUGGACGGAUUGAAUCUGCACAGCUUUGAGGCUUUGGUUUGA